rnacentral:tRNA from 1 species
GCCCGGUUAGCUCAGUCGGGAGCAUGGGACUCUUAUCCUGCAGGGGUCGUGGGUUCGAGGCCCCCACAUUGGGCG